GCCUUUCGGAGCUGUGCGGCAUUCUGAGCAGGAAUGGCAGUGUGGACCUCUGUGAUGGGACAUCUUGUGGGAUCUCACAGCCAGUUCUGUGGCAAAGGAGGAUGAAGGCUUACGAGGACUCGUCAGGAAGCUGGAUAACAGAGCGAGCGCAAUGUGCUAGAAUAGAAGACCAGAAAAUGAAAUGGUGGAGUUUGAGGCUGGAUAGACAGUUUGAAAGAUUGGUCAUUCUGAAUUUCCGGUCCUUCAUUCUGAAUUUCAAAGGCUCCUGUGACAAGUGGACAUGCAGUGACUGCACCUUUGUUUCUGAGGUGCCUGGAUGGAGGCUCAAAUAGAAGAUGGUGUCAGAUAUAUUGUGUUAAAAUUUUACCAUUAAAGUGUAUUAUAACAUGAA
rnacentral:lncRNA from 1 species